rnacentral:lncRNA from 1 species
UCAUCAUUUCCCCUAUAUAAGACAGUUAAGAAAGAAAUUGAAGAAGAUACCAAUAGAUGUAAAAUUCAUCCAUGCUUAUGGAUUGGUAGGAUUAAUACUGUGAAAAUGACCAUCUUAGCAAAAGCAAACUAUACAUUCAGUACAGUUUCCAUCAAAAUUCCAGCACAGUUCAUUACAGAAAUUGAAAAAGUCUUCAACUUUAUAUCAUGUCUUAUAGGGUUUUUUGCUGUGAAGAGAGACCAUGUCAGCCACUCUUGUAAAAGAAAACAUUUAAUAGUGGCUGGCUUACAGUUUGAAAGGUUUAGUCCGUUAUCAUUAUGGCAGGAAGCAUGGCAGCAUGGAUACUGGAGAAGGAGCUGAAAGUUCUACAUCGGGAUCCAAAAAGCGGUAGGAAGUGAACAGGCUUGAACUUCUGAGGCCUCAAAGCCUGCCACCUAGUAAUAUACCUCUUCCAACAAAACCACAUCUCCUUACAGUGCCACACCCUAUGGGCCUAUGGGACCCAGUUUUAUUCAGACCACCACAUAGAGAAACCAAAACCAAAAAACAACCAACCAAACCCCAAAAACCCAAAAAACAAAAAA